GAUGAACGCUGGCAGCGUGUUUAACACAUGCAAGUCGAACGGUGAACGAGGGAGCUUGCUCCCUCCGGAUCAGUGGCGAACGGGUGAGUAACACGUGAGCAGUCUGCCCUGGACUCUGGGAUAAGCGUUGGAAACGACGUCUAAUACCGGAUACGGGACGCGAAGGCAUCUUCAGCGUCUGGAAAGAACUUCGGUCCAGGAUGAGCUCGCGGCCUAUCAGGUAGUUGGUGAGGUAACGGCUCACCAAGCCUACGACGGGUAGCCGGCCUGAGAGGGUGACCGGCCACACUGGGACUGGGACACGGCCCAGACUCCUACGGGAGGCAGCAGUGGGGAAUAUUGCACAAUGGGCGCAAGCCUGACGCAGCAACGCCGCGUGCGGGAUGACGGCCUUCGGGUUGUAAACCGCUUUUAGUAGGGAAGAAGCCUUCGGGUGACGGUACCUGCAGAAAAAGGACCGGCUAACUACGUGCCAGCAGCCGCGGUAAAAC
rnacentral:rRNA from 1 species